AGCUAAUGAACUUGAUAUAAGUAUAUAUUUUGAAAAUAUAAGAUAGAGAUUAACCUCUAUUAGCUU
rnacentral:tRNA from 1 species